CCGCGACGCCGGGCCCCUGACGUCACCCGAUUCGCCAGGAAAUGAACUUUUUAAUAAUCCGAGAGGGAGGAAAGCCCUCGGUUCCCUCGAUUCGGGGGACGCCCGGCCCAACCCAGAUCCACGCGAGUGCCUCUGUCUCUUUUUCAGGCUACCUGUGGGCAGCGUCAAGGGGUCUCGGGCCCAAACCAGGGGUCUCCUCCUUCCUCUGCGUCUUGCUGUGGCGCAGGUAAAGGCGCGGGGCUGAGGGCUCAGAGCCCCAUCCGGCUGGGAACCAGUGCGUCUCGGCCCUGGGGAACCCGCCUGCCCAGACCGGCCACUGAGCCUUCUGCUCCACUCCAUUCUGGCGCGCGCGGGGCCCAGACUUCUUGGAACUCCGCUCCGCGAUACAGGAGGCUAGCUCCCGCCGGCUAAAGCGCACCGGGGUCGGGAGUAGGAGAGCGAGGCCGCGGGCACCGGGUUUCCGAGGCCGUGUCCGGCAGUUUACGAUUCUUCAUCAAUGCCUAAAAUGCGAUCGCCGAGAAACCUCCAGCCUGUUUUGUGUCCCUGGAACCUAGCAAGACCUUCUCAAAGACAACGCAACCCCAGGGACAACCAACCGCCCAUGUCCGGCAAGACUGCAUCACUAUAGUUCGAAUCCUCGGACUCAGCGUGAGGGGACGCCAGCCCCAUGGCCGGCCGCGGGGCCAUUAACGCAGGAGCGGAGCAGACGCUUCCCUCGAGGCGGCGAUCGGUGCCUCGGUUCGCAGGGAGGUGGCCGCUCCGAGCGCUCGGGAAAGCAGGGAAAUGAGCGGCCGCCACACCCGGGGACCCUGAACGCCGGACCUUUCUCCUCUGGUUGGGGCAACCUAGAGUUCAAGCCUGGCUUCCACAGAAGGAUUCUAUGUGCCAAUCGUCCAGACAAACCCAAACCGCCAUCUACCCCCCUCCCUCCCGCGGCGUAUCCCCCAGCCCGCGAUGGCCCAUUCUGCUUGAAAUCCCACUAAAAGGAUUCCGACUUCGGCUUGGAGCAGGGGGGAGACUUUAAGACCCCGCGCUCUCCGCUUCAGGAAC